AUUGAACGCUGGCAGCAGGCCUAACACAUGCAAGUCGAGCGGAGCGGCGGACGGGUGAGUAAUGCCUAGGAAUCUGCCUGGUAGUGGGGGAAAACGACCGGAAACGGGCGCUAAUACCGCAUACUAUCAGAUGAGAAUAGGCGGGAUUAGCGAGGUGGAGGGGUACAGCCCUACCAAGGCGACGAACCGUAACUGGGCUGAGAGGAUGAGCACUCACACUGGAACUUAGACACGGUCCAGAUGCCUACGGUGGGCAGCAGUGGGGAAUAUUGGACAAUGGGCGAAAGCCUGAUCCAGCCAUGCCGCGUGUGUGAAGAAGGUUUUCGGAUUGUAAAGCACUUUAAGUUGGGAGGCGUUACCAACAGAAUAAGCACCGGCUAACUUCGUGCCAGCCGCCGCGGUAAUAC
rnacentral:rRNA from 1 species